rnacentral:lncRNA from 10 species
CAAUGUGACAAGAAGUCAGCACUGUUCUUAGAUAACUGGGGACACAGGGAGGGCACUCCAGUGUUCCCAUGGAAGGAAUGAAUUCGGGCACAGUCCGUCCCGUGCAACUCCCCUAGGGAGAGAAGGGGCAACUGGAUUCCUCUCGACAAACUAGAAACUUUGUGACAAUGACAAGCUGUUCCCACCCCGGCCCUCCCCUAGGAUGCUGGAGAGCCCAGAGAGGGAAGAGAAGAAACCCAGCGUUGGUGCGGUGCCCACCGCGGACUCGACUUCAUUCCACCUUCACGCUGAGAGGCCAAGAUACCUAGAGAGAGUUCGCGGGGCCGGAGGCUCCCUGCUGUCUCCUGCAAGUGCGUGGGGGUGGGGUCUGAUUUCCACCCGUGUUGGACGUCAGCGGCCUCCGACGCUUUUUGGAAGCAGACUUUUCAGGAACACCUGCUGUGUGGCCGGCACUGUAGUAGGUGCCAGGGAUACAAAGAAGAAACUUUCAGGGCUCUUAGGAAGACAGGAAAACAAGUCAAUCAGCAAUGGUCCUAGCGUGAUGAGGAAACUGAGGUUCUGAAUGAUUAGAUGACUCACCCGAUAUCACACAGCUGGUAAGCACGUGAACCAGGAUGAGAAACCCAGGCUAUCUAUGCCAGUGCCCAGUUAACCAGUUCACCAGAACACCAGAAGCCGCCCCCAGGGCUGCAAGCUGACCAUGCCUGGGACACAGGAGGUUGCAGUGGUGAAGAUCAACAGGCGGGGCGAGGAGCAUCUCCGUCUCCCUCUGAAGACCAUUUGGAAGAGGGUGUGAGAGCUGCCGCCAGGCUUUCCCAGAGAACAGCUGGGCCUGGAAGGGGCGGUCCAGGUCCCAUAAUAACUGCUACCUGCUGCUGCAGCAAUUUUCCCUGCUGGGUGUUUCCAAGUCCGAGUCUCCUGGGGGAGGAGGCUGGGAGGAGGAGGAGGAGGAGGGCUGAUUCUCUAAACUCCCCCUGCUUCUCACCAAAGGUCUGUCCUUGGCCCAGCUUCCCUUCCGAAGGUUGAGUAAUCUCAAAAAAUUGCAGCCUGGCAUGAAAGAGCAGGCCUGCAGGCCAAGCCAGAUCACGUCCGCACGCGGGAUGCUUGGCCCACAUGCUCCUGUACACUUGUAACUGUUAAACCAGAGGACAAGAAGCAACAGAUGUCCUCAGAUCACCAAACCAGCAAAUGCGCAGAGCCAUGGUGGGCGUCUGGCCCCAGUGCUUGGGUGGCCCCUAACAUCAGAUUAAGGAAAAAAGACCUCUCCUCAGCUGGAACGUCCCACUUCCUCCUCCCUCCUCCUCACCAGUAUUUUUCUCUCUGCUUUGCCUGGAUUGGAGUCCUGACCUGGCUACUCCCAGCUGUGUGAACUGGGCCAGCAACUUAGCUCCGUUGUGCCUCAGUUUCUCCAUCUCUAAAUGAAGCGCUUAUUCCUCUCUCAUGGAGCCGUCGUGAGAAUUACGUGAAUGAAUACAGGCUGACUACUUUGAACAGUGCCUGUAGCUGGGCAAAUGGACAGCAAGGUGCUCAAAAUCAGGGUUCUCUUUCAAACCAAUCCCUUACACUUUCGGUCCAGUAGAGGGCGAUCGCAACAAUGACUAGAAAGAGAACAGCAAUGAAAGGAGGACUGAAGUGGGGCUUCCCAGUUCCCUACACAUUCAUAGGAUUCCUCCAGGAACGCUGAACCAUGGAGACUGAGGAUUGAAUUCAGUAUGGCAGCCACGUUUCUGGGUGGUAGUUUAGCAUUCUGAACAGAUAAUACAUUCACGUGGUCGAGAACUAAACUAAAACAAGAAGGUAUGUAGUAACACCCACCACCCUCCUACCCCAAUCCCUAACCCUUUUUGCCUGACUUUCUGCUUCACCUCCACCACAGGUACUGUUAGUUUUCUCUUGUGUUCUCUACCAGAAGUUUCAAUGCCAAUGCCAAUAUAAACAAAUGCAGGCUGGGCGUGGUGGCUCACGCCUGUAAUCCCAGCACUUUGAGAGGCCAAGGCGGGCGGAUCACCUGAGAUGAGGAGUUCGACACCAGCCUGACCAACGUGGUGAAACCCUGUCUCUAUUAAAAAUACAAAAAUUAGCCGGGCGUGGUGACGUGCACUGUAGUCCCAGUUACUCAGGAGGCUGAAGCAGGAGAAUCACUUGAACCCGCGAGGCAGAGAUUGCAGUGAGCCGAGAUCGCGCCACUGCACUCCAGCCUGAGUGACAGAGCGAGACUCCCUCUGAAAAAAACAAAACAAAUACAAUAUUAACACCCACCCCAUUUUACCCAAAAGGUAGUGUUGUUCUGAACACACUAUUCAGUAGCUAGCUUUGCGUAUUCAUGAUCUAUCUUGUAGAAUGUUCCAUACCAGCAUCUAGAGAGGGUCCUCAUCCUUUCUUUCUUUUACAGCUUCAUAGUCGUGCAUGGUUCACCAGCGUUAUUACCUAUUCAUCUAGCCCCUCACUGAUGGGGACUCAGGUUAGCCCUCACCUUCUGCCUUAAAAGUAAAGCUCAAUGAAUAACCCUGGAUAUAUUUUGCACACAUACAAGUGUAUCUAUUAUCUAUAGCAGUGACUUUCAGCCCCAGUCGAACGUAAGCAUCACUCAGGGGGCUUUACAAAAAUCCCCAUACGGGUGGCACACAACUCUAAUCCCAGCACUUUGGAAGGCCAAGGCGGGCAGAUCACUUGAGCUCAGGAGUUCCAGACCAGCCUGGGCAACAUGGCAAAAACCUGUCUCUACAAAAAAAUACAAAAAUUAGCCAGGCGUGGUGGCACGUGCCUGUAGUCUCAGCUACUUGAGUGGCUGAGGUGGGAGGAUCGCUUGAGCCUGGGAGGUCAAGGCUGCAGUGUGCUGAGAUUGCACCACUGUACUCCAGCCUGGGUGACAGAGUUUUUUGAGGCAGGCAAGACCCUGCCUUUAAAAAAAAAAAAAAAAAUGCCGAGUGCGGUGUCUCAUGCCUGUAAUCUCAGCACUUUGGGAGGCCGAGGCGGGCAGAUCACGAGGUCAGGAGUUCAAGACCAGCCUGCCAACCCCAUCUCUACUAAAAAUACAAACAUUAGCCAGGCGUGGUGGUACGCACCUGUAACCCCAGCUACUCGGGAUGCAGAGGUUGCAGUAAGCCGAGAUCACGCCAUUGCACUCCAGCCUGGGCAACAGAGUGAGAUUCCUUCUCAAAAAAAAAAAAAAAAAUCUCCAUACCCAGGGCAUAUCUCAGACCAAUUAUAUCAGAAUGUCUGGGUGUGGGAUCAGGGGACCCUGGUGAUUCCCAUGUCCAGCCAUGGCUGGGCACCACUGACCCUAUAGGGUAAAUGGAUUGAUCAAGGGCACACAGACUUGUAAAUUUGCUAGACAUUGCCAACUGGCCUCUACGGCGGCUCCAUGGGGGUUGUGUCAAUUCACACUCCCACCAGCAAUGUACAAGAGGACCUGGGUCUUCCACAGCCUCCCCAGCAAAGUAGGCUUGUCAAAGUUUUUUAUUUUUACCAAACUGCUAGUUUAUUUAUUUAUUUUUUAAAGGUAUCUCAAUUUUGCUUUAAUUUGCAUUUCUCUUACUAGGAGUUGAGGUUGAGCAUCUUUUUGCAUGUUUAAGAUCAUUUAAUCUGUCUGGUCAUAUUCUGUGCCCAUUGUUCUUUUCAUUUUCUUUUUUUUAAGUUUGACUUCUCUAUAUUUUAGCAAGACUAAUUCUUUACUUGAGUUGCAAACACUUUUUACUGCUUUGUCUUUUUAUGUUUACACUUUGCAUGAGGUGGUAUGGUAUGUUUUUUUUUUUUUUUCCUGGAUCACUUUUUAUGUGUUUGAAUGUAUUCAUCUUUUCAAUGGCUUUUGGAUUUGGAUUUGGGUAACAUGGUUUAUGGUUAGAAGGAAGCUCCCCAUAUUUUCUUCUGGCACUUUUGUGAUUUCCUUUUUUUGAGACAGAGUCUCGCUUUAUCGCUCAAGCUCGAGUGCAAUGGUGCGAUCUCAGCUCACUGCAACCUCUGCCCCCCGCCCCGGGUUCAAGCGAUUCUCCUGCCUCAGCCUCCCAAGUAGCUGGGAUUACAGUCGUCUGCCACCACGCCUGGCUAAUUUUUGUAUUUUUAGUAGAGAUGGGCUUUCCCCCUGUUAUCCAGGCUGGUCUCGAACUCCUGAGCUUAUGAGAUCCUCCCACUUCAGCCUCCCAAAAUGCUGGGAUUACAGGAGUGAUCCACUGCGACUGGUCUGAUUUCCUUUAUUUGUGUUUAAAUUUUUGAUCCUUUUGGAAUUUUCCCUGAUCAAAGGAUCCACCUUUGUUCUUCUUUCUAAUGGCCAAUUGUCCCAUUACCCUUGUCAAGGAGUAAGGUAGGAAUGGCUUUGUGGGGUAUGAAAUGUGAAUUUCUUUUUGUCUUAUUUAUAACAGCAUCUGCCUCUACUCUUCUGAAACUGUGUUCCUGUCCACCCACCCAUUCAACUACCCAUUGAUUGACUGAUUGAUUGAUUCAUUCAAUUUCUCGUUUUUGUUUUUUUGCUUGUUGAGAAUUCUAACAUUAAUUGGACAUUGUCCCUGACCUUUUGGGUUUCUAUUUAGGAUUUGUUUUUAUCACUUAAUAACCAACAAUGAUGACAUUUUAUCGAAUGUCUAGUAUAUUUGUUCCAAGUAUCAUUUCAAUUACACUUAAAACAAAGCAGUGAUGUCAGUUAUACUAUUUUUCCCAUUUGAGGAGUCAUUUAAAAGAGGUUUUGAGGCUUUCCAAUGGCCCCCAGUUGGAAAGUGGCAGUACUGGAUGCAAUUCAAGAGCCCAGUCUUCAGGAUCCUGCCUUUUUACCUACCUGGACGCUGUAACUGGUCUCUGUGGAAUGGCUGGAUGAGGGAAUGAAUGAAUGAGUCAGUGAAGGAAUGAGGAAGACAGAAUGAGUCAGCUCGUGCUUUCAGAGGAGCCCAAAGGGAGAGGUUAAGAUAGGAAUGCAAAUGACCAGAAUCCAGAGUAAACGCGAGCCCACCAGCGUUUUGGAAGCAGUCCACUUUCUACCCCCUCCUAUUUAAAAUGCUUCAUUCUUUCCAGUUCCUCCCCACCUAGAAUCCAUGGAACCAAACGCUGGGGUAGGGACAGUGGCCAGCCUGUCUCCUUGGGUUUGACGCAUUACAUCAUCCACGUGGAGGUCCCCUGUGGAGCUCUGCAGCCC